GUGGAUGCUGAGCACUGGUGAGCUCAAGCGGCUGUAACCCGCCCGCUUCGGCUGUGGAGGUUCGAAUCCUCCCGUCCACA
rfam:Chondromyces crocatus strain Cm c5, complete genome.